UACGUAGGGGGCAAGCGUUGUCCGGAAUCAUUGGGCGUAAAGAGCGUGUAGGCGGCCAGGUAGGUCUGCUGUGAAAACUCGAGGCUCAACCUCGAGACGUCGGCGGAAACCAUCUGGCUAGAGUCCGGAAGAGGAGAGUGGAAUUCCUGGUGUAGCGGUGAAAUGCGCAGAUAUCAGGAGGAACACCGAUGGCGAAGGCAGGUCUCUGGGCAUUAACUGACGUGAGGAGCGAAAGCAUGGGGAGCGAA
rnacentral:rRNA from 1 species